UCAGCCAGGUAGCUCCAUCAUACUAUAGGCUAGUAUCAGCCAGGUAGCUCCAUCAUACUAUAGGCUAGUAUCAGCCAGGUAGCUCCAUCAUAUAGGCUAGUAUCAGCCAGGUAGCUCCAUCAUAUAGGCUAGUAUCAGCCAGGUAGCCCCAUCAUACUAUAGGCUAGUAUCAGCCAGGUAGCUCCAUCAUACUAUUGGAUAGUAUCAGCCAGGUAGCUCCAUCAUAUAGGCUAGUAUCAGCCAGGUAGCUCCAUCAUACUAUAGGCUAGUAUCAGCCAGGUAGCUCCAUCAUACUAUAGGCUAGUAUCAGCCAGGUA